AUUGAACGCUGGCGGCAGGCUUAACACAUGCAAGUCGAGCGGAGACUUCGGUCUUAGCGGCGAACGGGUGAGGAAUGCCUGGGAAUCUGCCUGUUAGUGGGGGAUAACGAAUCGAAAGGUUCGCUAAUACCGCAUACGUCCUACGGGAGAAAGCAGGGGACCUUCGGGCCUUGCGCUAACAGAUGAGCCCAGGUCGGAUUAGCUAGUAGGUGGGGUAAAGGCUCACCUAGGCGACGAUCCGUAGCUGGUCUGAGAGGAUGAUCAGCCACACUGGAACUGAGACACGGUCCAGACUCCUACGGGAGGCAGCAGUGGGAAUAUUGGACAAUGGGCGAAAGCCUGAUCCAGCCAUGCCGCGUGUGUGAAGAAGGCCUUCGGGUUGUUAAAGG
rnacentral:rRNA from 1 species